GGACUACCAGGGUAUCUAAUCCUGUUCGCUCCCCUGGCUUUCGCACCUGAGCGUCAGGACUCAGCCAGCAGACUGCCUUCGCCUUUGGUGUUCUUCCGCAUCUCUACGCAUUUCACCGCUCCACGCGGAAUUCCGUCUGCCUCUCUGAGCCUCAAGUGCGCCCGUUUUGCUACCCCUCCGUCAGUUGAGCCAACGGCUGUCAGCAGCAACGCGGCGCACCGCCUGCGUGCCCUUUACGCCCAGUAACUCCGGACAACGCUUGCUCCCUACGUCUUACCGCGGCGGCUGGCAC
rnacentral:rRNA from 1 species